rnacentral:rRNA from 1 species
CCUCCCACGACCGGCCGCGUCGACGGGAACGUGAGCUGGGUUUAGACCGUCGUGAGACAGGUUAGUUUUACCCUACUGAUGGAGUGUCAUCGUAAAAGUAAUUGAGCGUAGUACGAGAGGAACUGCUCAUUCGGAUAAUUGGUCUUUGCGGCUGUCCGAUCGGGCAAUGCCGCGAAGCUAUCAUCCGCUAGAUUAUGGCUGAACGCCUCUAAGUCAGAAUCUGUGCUUGAAACGAUGAUGUUAGUCCCGCACAUGUUAGAUGUGUUACAAUAGAGCUUGCUCGUGAACCAUACCUGACAGUCCUGGUCGUAUUGGACGGAAAUGUCCUUUGCGAUCUUCUGUGAAUACGAAAUUUAAAUAUGCGGUCGACGCGGCCG